GGGAAUAUGGCUCAGCGCUGGAGCAUUUGCUUGGCUUGCAGAUGGUGCCAGAUUCAAUCCCCGGCAUCUCCA
rnacentral:tRNA from 1 species